CAUCAAGCCAUCGCCACACCAUUAUAGAACCCUGCAAUGACAGGCAGUCUAUGCUGGAUUGUUGUGCUAUCCAUGGGUCACCAGGCUGCCUGUCUGCCUUGCCUGUCUGUCGAGCCCGCCAGCCAGCUCAAUUCCUCAGGAUCCCCUCUGCCAAGCCUCUUCCCGGAUUACUCUCCCUCAGCCCCAACUCCAGCCAGCCACCAUCUAAUCUUCACCGCCUGUGUUAAAAUAAAAGAUGGCCUUUCCACCUUA